UACGGAGGGGGCUAGCGUUGUUCGGAAUUACUGGGCGUAAAGCGCACGUAGGCGGCUUUGUAAGUUAGAGGUGAAAGCCCGGGGCUCAACUCCGGAAUUGCCUUUAAGACUGCAUCGCUAGAAUUGUGGAGAGGUAAGUGGAAUUCCGAGUGUAGAGGUGAAAUUCGUAGAUAUUCGGAAGAACACCAGUGGCGAAGGCGACUUACUGGACACAUAUUGACGCUGAGGCGCGAAAGCUAGGGGAGCAAACAGG
rnacentral:rRNA from 1 species